ACUGGGUGUUGUGGUGCAUGCCUGUAAACCCAGAGACUUGGAAGUUUGAGGCAGGGAAACACUAGUUUGAGGACGGCCUUUGCAACUUAGUGAGAUCCUGUCUCAA
rnacentral:sRNA from 1 species